rnacentral:rRNA from 1 species
CGCGGCCUAUCAGCUUGUUGGUGGGGUGAUGGCCUACCAAGGCGACGACGGGUAGCCGGCCUGAGAGGGCGACCGGCCACACUGGGACUGAGACACGGCCCAGACUCCUACGGGAGGCAGCAGUGGGGAAUAUUGCACAAUGGGCGGAAGCCUGAUGCAGCGACGCCGCGUGAGGGAUGACGGCCUUCGGGUUGUAAACCUCUUUCAGCAGGGACGAAGCGAGAGUGACGGUACCUGCAGAAGAAGCGCCGGCCAACUACGUGCCAGCAGCCGCGGUAAGACGUAGGGCGCGAGCGUUGUCCGGAUUUAUUGGGCGUAAAGAGCUCGUAGGCGGCUUGUCGCGUCGAAUGUGAAAUCCUGCGGCUCAACUGCAGGCUUGCAUUCGAUACGGGCAGGCUCGAGUUCGGUAGGGGAGACUGGAAUUCCUGGUGUAGCGGUGAAAUGCGCAGAUAUCAGGAGGAACACCGGUGGCGAAGGCGGGUCUCUGGGCCGAUACUGACGCUGAGGAGCGAAAGCGUGGGGAGCGAACAGGAUUAGAUACCCUGGUAGUCCACGCCGUAAACGGUGGGAACUAGGUGUUGGCGACAUUCCACGUCGUCGGUGCCGCAGCUAACGCAUUAGGUUCCCCGCCUGGGGAGUACGG